CUCUGAGACAUCCCAUGAUGUUUCCUGCUCCAGAUCCUCACCUGCAUACUAAGAUCAUAAACCAGAUAGAUUAUUAUUUCAGGUGCUCCUUUCAUGUUUGUUUGUUUGUUUACAUAAGAACAUUAAUCAUCAUUUCCCUUUUAAUUUGUUUGAUAGUUUAACUGCUUGUGUCCCUUCAUACUCAUUUAUUGCAGUAAUGACAAUUUAAUUAAAGAUACAUACUUGAGGCGGAACAUGGAUGACCAGGGAUGGGUUCGUAUUAAAUUAAUAGUAGGCUUCAAAAAAGUGAGUUUUUGGGAAACUUUUCUCUGUGGAUUUCAUUUAUUGUGGUGAUGAUCUGGUCUUUUGUUGUGUAUACAGGUGUGUGUUUGUGUGUAUCCAUGCAUACAGGUUUAUUCUAUAUGUUCAAGAUUAACUUGUAUUUUAUGUUUUUAACUUGCAAUUCUUGGUGAUGUGUAGGUUAUGUUUGUCAUUGGGAUUUGUCAAUUGAGCACUUUGAAUUAUACAUUUAAAGAAAGUAAAUGAAUGAACAACAAAUAAAUAAAAACAAAGUAUAGAAACACAUUAAGGAAAAUUACUUAUGGUAUACCAAGUAUAAUAGCACUUUGUUUGCUAUUCUGUGGUGCUCUGUGGCAUGCUAUUCUGUGUUAUUUUUUGUUAUCGUUACAUUGACAUGGGAUAAUACGUACACGUUUUGAAGUAAGGAAUUAUUAAUGUUAAAGACUGAAAAUAAGCUAUAGGCUAUCAAGCAAAUGUUGAUAUUGCAGAAGAACCAUUUUGUGGUAGAUUAUAGGGAGAUACCUUAGGACGAAAUGUGGUUUUAUGUAUUUGAUUAAGCAGGAGCAUAUCUAAGGUUAAAAAUUUGCUAUACUAUAUUGCCUCCUCAAUGGGGUUCUGUUCUUAUAUCCUGGCCCCACUUUCCUGACCGACAACAUUCAGCUUGUACUGGAUGCUAUGAGAAUGCCAAUGUUUUAAUUUCUCAUUUCCUUUUCAGGUUAUGAGUUUGACAGACAACAUUCAGCUUAUACUGGAUGCUAUGAGAAUGUCAACUGUUGUGGAAGUACAGGUAAUUCAAGAUUCCAUAAUUUAACGUUUGAUGUAAUCAUGUAAUAGAAAAAAUGCCGUUGCAUCGCUAUUUUAUUAUUUAUUCUCCUCCAAAUUUUCAUUUCCAGCACCCUCUACCCCACCUAGCCCCGUAAUAUACAGUUAAAAGUGUUAUGUGUUUUAUGUUAUAUAACAUUCUGAUAAGAUGACAAAUCUUGUGCUGUGUCUUGUGACUGUUUAGGGUGAUAAAAUAAGAAGGCGUAAUGAUUGGGAGAGAUGGGUAAUGCCAGCUGCUGAGCCUCCAAAUGCCUCGGGCUCUCAAACCCCUGGAAAGGCCGGUCCGGAUAUGCUGUCAGCUCAUAUCCAAAGUAUUGCACUGGACGAGAACACCACUAACAACAACAAUGUUGAGAACAAUAAUCAGCCGCAGCUGUCAAGUGGUGAUGGAACAGGUCAAUUCGGUGUUCAAGCAGGUGCUGAUCGCUCUAUUUCAGCAAGAAAUUAGAGUUUGAGGGAUGGAUGUGCACAGACGAUGCACACUCGUGGAGAGAAAUGAACUUGUGGGAAGAGAGGCUUAAAAGACACGAUGGUGAAUAUCUAUUUUUUUUUUUUCUUUUUUUUCGAAAAUAGUACUACUGCCUUGGCAUGAUGUAACGUUCUUUCUUGCCUGGCAAAUAGAAAGAAACUAAAAAAAGGGGGAAAAGAGAAACAUCUAGGAACAGAAGCAAAAGACUAGUUGGGAUUCCUGUACUUAUUUUUGCUUCGUGUUUUUUUACUCCUGUUAAAUUUUAUGGUGGCAUGGAUGGUGCUUUUCUGGGGGGAAUUUUUGCUGUCAUUUCCCCAUGCUGCCCCCUCAGCUGAUUUUAACAAUCUUUGGGGUCAGACAACCUCCAUUUGACGGAGAAUAUGUGAUGAUGGAGGGAUGGAUGAAGGUGUUCGGGGCUUGCCUCUGCGUACUGAGGGGAGAGAGGGUGGCCCUUUGCCGGAUUCAGUUGGAUGCUGCUACAGCAAAAUUUGGCUACUUGUCGAAGGGAAGAUGGUCUAUCUUUUCGUAUGUUCUCACGUACAAAAUUAUAUAUUUAGAACUAAAUCGACAUAUAAUGUAUACCUUUCUAUGGAUCUUCACCAUUUGAGGAUUGAGUGCACAAAUGGUUCCUGGUGGAACAAACUGAUGAUGUUGUCCAGGUCGGAACUGGAUUGGGGCUGGUACUUCAUGUUUAUUGCACUUUUUGGAGCUUGUGGAUCUUUUCACCUGCUUAGGAUCAUCGGAUUAAGUUUUAUAUUUUAGUUAAAUGUACCUGAUGGUAUUAUUUAUUUAAUUCCUUUUUAUAUUUCAGUUGUUGAAAUGAUCAAUUUUCAGUAUAUCGACAAGAUUUGGUCAUUUUGUUCUCAAUAUUUUGUUGAUAUUUGAUUUUGAUCAUUUCAACAAUUAGAAUUUAAAUUUUUAUCAUUUUAGUUGAGUCUUAAAAAAUUGAUACAUCUUUUUAUUAUUUUUGUUCUCAAAAACACAUUAAUAUUUUUAUCAAUAACAAUUUGAGAGAUGUGUCAAUUGAACAUCUUUUGCUUUUCCUAAAUCACUCAGAUCAAUUUGCUGCAGAUGCAUGUCCUUUUUCCUUGGAUUUGGAUCCCAUCUGGAUUCAAAUUGUAGGAAUCCUAGGGAUCUUCACAUUUUAGUUAUUUAUUGCAGUAAAAAAUUAUUUAACUAUUUUUUUAUUUAAAAUUAAAUACAAAUAGUACAUGGCGAAAAUUGACCGCACGAUGUAUUACCGUACCAAACUUUCAGUUUGGAAAAAUUCAUUACCAUUACCGUAUUAAAUUUUUGGUAUACCGAAAUACCGAAUUUCGGUACGCCAAAUAGUUUAGUUGGCAUGACAUGAUAAUGGUAAUUGCCACUUUGUUUUGUACCAUUUUUUUGGGCCAAAAUUUUAUUUAUUUAAUUUUUUUUUUUUUUGUACUUUUACUUCAUAUAUUGUAGCCUAAAUUCAUAUAUCAUUUGUCAUUUACAAUUAACACACAUAAUAAAUCAAAUGAUGCAUCAAGAUUCAUUAUGAAAAUUAAGGUUACAAUCCAAAUAGAAGUUAGAAACCAAAUCAAUAAAUAGAAGUUUUCAAUCCAAAUAGAAGUUAAAGUUUCAAACCAAAGCAAAAUUGAGAGUGGAUUUAAACUUCAAAAAACAAAAAUAUAGGGUAAAUUACAAAAAAACUACCUCAACUAUUGGGUCAACCACAGUUUCAAACUCAUCUUUAAAACAUCUCAAUGUCAUACAUUAUCUUCAAAUUUGUUGCAAUGACAUACCUUCUGUCAGUUUGUUUGUCAAUUCCUCUGUUAAAUGUUGACGUGGCUUUGAGGCAAAGCCCACUUUCUAUUAAAAAUUUAAUUAAAUAUUACAAAAAUUAAAAUACAAUUAUUAAAAUAUUUUUAUAAAAAUAAUGUGGGACCCACCCACCUUCUUCCUAUCCCACCCGUCUCCCCCCACAUUUCCUCCCUUCACUCCAAAACCAGAACCCCACCAUGACUUUCCCUCACCCUCAUCCUCCCCACUCGAUCGCCUUCUUCACCAAAUCACCCAGUCAUUUACACUUCGAUCAAGCCAUUCCCCUCCAUGCCCGUCCUCCCUUACGCCCCCCUCCGCCGCCACACCUGUUGCUUCAUCCUCAACCCUUUUUCCACCGUCGAUUACGCCACCAAGGUUUGGAUCUGCCCUGUCUGCUUCACUCGCAACCAUUUCCCUCCCCACUACGCCUCAAUCUCCGAUGAGAAUCUCCCCACCAAGCUUUUCCCCCAGUACACCACCAUCGAGUACGACUCGUCCAUCGAAAAACCUACCUCGCCUCCGAUCUUUAUUUUCGUUGUCGACACAUGAUCGAGGAUGAGCUCUCGUUUCUCAAGUCCACUUUGUCUCAUGCUCUUGGUCUCCAUCCCCAUAUAUGGAGAUAAAGGAGUAGGCGAGUGAUGGGGGAUGAGGGAAGGGGUGAUGGGGGAUUUUUGGGUCGGGUUGCUUAAAAGAAGAAGAAGAAGAAAUGGGAUUCUUGGGAGAAGGGGGUGGGUGAUAGGGGCUUUGGUUUUGGUGGUGAAGGAAGGUUGGGAGUUGGGGACACGGGUGGAUGGGGAAGAAAGGGGCUUUGGUUUUGGUGGUGAAGGAAGGUUGGGGGUACGUAGGGGACACGGGUGGAUGGGGAAGAAGGGGGUUUUGGUUUUAGAGUUAAGGAAGGAAAGGUGGGGGGAGACAGGU
rnacentral:lncRNA from 1 species